CGCCGCGGUAACACCGGCAGCUCUAGUGGUAGCAAUUUUAUUGGGCCUAAAGCGUCCGUAGCCGGUUAAUAAGUCUCUGGUGAAAUCCUGCAGCUUAACUGUGGGAAUUGCUGGAGAUACUAUUAGACUUGAGACCGGGAGAGGUUAGAGGUACUCCCAGGGUAGAGGUGAAAUUCUGUAAUCCUGGGAGGACCGCCUGUUGCGAAGGCGUCUAACUGGAACGGUUCUGACGGUGAGGGACGAAAGUUAGGGGCGCGAACCGGAUUAGAUACCCGGGUAGUCCUAACUGUAAACGAUGCGGACUUGGUGUUGGGGUGGCUUUGAGCUGCUUCAGUGCCGAAGGGAAGCUGUUAAGUCCGCCGCCUGGGAAGUACGGUCGCAAGAUUGAAACUUAAGGAAUUGGCGGGGGAGCACCACAACGCGUGGAGCCUGCCGGUUUAAUUGGAUUCAACGCCGGACAUCUCACCAGAGGCGACAGCUGUAUGAUAGCCAGGUUGAUGACUUUGCUUGACUAGCUGAGUGGUGGUGCAUGG
rnacentral:rRNA from 1 species